AUGCGCACUGGUCAUGAGGCCUGCAGUUUCACCUACUACAGUGAGCAGCUGCUGGAGGCAGCGUGGGAGACAGUAGCAGAGGCUGCCUGCAGGGACAGGGCAGCAAAGCAGAAGGGAGGCGCCAACGCAGUCCACUGAAGGAGCCUAAAAGGGAGCCCCAGGAGAAGGGGACAUCAUCUGUGUGCUACGAACUGCAACAGUGAUUGCACAGAAGUCACCAAGAAAGACCAGUUCCCUGGCUCCCUAGAGAAGGACUUUGAGCAUGGGCCAGGCCCCGGGGACAUCAAAGCAGAAGAUACAAUCUAGGCAUGGUUGACUUCGCCCAUUUCUCACACAGGCCUGGCGCUAGAUACAAGUUCCAAGAUGCAGUCCAUCACUGCAGGGAGGCCAAGGUAGCAGGUGUCUGGAGCAACUGGUCACAUCAGGAAGCAGAGAAAGACCAGUGCAUCUUAGUACUCAGCUCCCUUUCUCCAUUUUAUACAGCACAGAAUCUUCUGCCCAGGUAAAAUUGCACCCACCUCCUCGGUGAAGUCUUUACCCACUCUCAGAGUGACUCACAAUCUUCCUGCAGCAACGCCACUCAUGUGUGCCAUUAUGUGAAUCAUCAAACACUGGGAACACACUGCAGCUGCUACUGCCCUGAAACCGAAAGGGGAACUGAGAAGUCCUGGCCAGGCUUCUGACCAGCACUUCCUCACAGAACUCACCUCACCGACCACCUGCCUGACCCACUUCUGUAAUCUGAUUCACCAUUUUGGAGUCUGCCUUCAGCCCAGGAGGUUGUACCUCAGGCUCGCCAGCUGUGGAGUGGGGGGAGGGGGGGGCUGGUUGCCACCAUGGAGCAGGUGCUGAGAGGGAACAACACAACCAGAAUGAGUGCCAGCCCUGGCCUGCUGUCAAAACCAGUGGGAAGCAGGAGGCACAAGUGGCGCUCACAUGGCAAGGGCCUGGAAGUGCCAGAGAGAUGUUUGGCAUCCUAAUCCCAGGGAUUCUAUGGAGGACUCUCCAUGGAAAAGACCUUGCCUGAGGGGAGGAUCCAAGUUUCUGUCUUCGGUGGAAGCCAAAAGGGAUGACUGUUUCCAAAAGCCUUGGCCUGUGGGCAGCAGGGAGGAGACAGUUAAACUCCCAGGUCUGGACAUUGUGGCCACAACCAGGCCAAACCCACAAACAGAGAGAGGGUCCAUCUUCCACAGUGCCCGGGCCAGUGAGCUGAGGAGAUAGGAAUUCAAAUUCCAAGCUUCCCCCAUGUCUAGGUGGCAAACAGAGCUGCAUAAAUCCAGAAAAAUGGGUGGCUGUAGUCUUUUGUGGGUCACGUACAGGCCCCAGUUCCUCUGGGCUGGAAAAUGAAUAUACAUUGCAGUAGAAAUGUCACCUUUGAUGUUUUUACAGUACUGGGGGAGUGUCUUUUUUUGUGUGUGCCCAGAACUUUACACCAUUCCCAUCCAUCCCACAUCACCUUGUGGUGGUACCAUUUUGUUUUCCUCCUCCUCCUCCUUGGUUUUUCUCUUUGUAGCCCUGACUGCCUUGGAACUCACUCUGUAGACCAGACUGGCCUUGAACUCAGAGAUGCCUGCCUCUACCUCAUGAGUGCUGGGAUUAAAGGCGUGCACCACCAUGCUCUGCUCAAGUGAUACUAUUUUCAAUUGUCACAGAACAUCCUUGUUCCCAGGGCAAGUACCUACUAAUGAUGGUGAGAUACCUCUUUUCUCUCUGUGAAGGCUUCUUUUGCAGAGCAGAGGAAGGAAAUCGGUUUGGAGAAGCCAGGACAAUAAGAAGCCAGGAGAAAGUGGGGAAAUUACUAAGCGCUUCUGUCUGGCUGGAGUAUAGGGAAAGCCGGGAAGCCCAGGACUGACCAGAGCUGCCUGUUUCACUGGAAAAGCAGGGGACGUUGGCCUUGGCUGCACUGACACAUCACUCUGCACACUGCAUCAGCAGUCUGGAAGAGAGGGUGAAAAGGAAGUGGGGCAGGCUCUAGGACCUCAAAGUCCGCCCCCCGAUCCACUUCCUCCAGCAAGGUGCACCUCCCACUCUGGCCAUAGCAGAGAGUUUUGAAGGGAUCUUGAAAGAGCAGCUUUUUGCUGGAAUUUGGAAAUGCGGUGCCAAGAACCUCAGAAAUGAGGUACGUGGUAGGAGCAGGUAUAAAAGGGGUUUUGGGGAACAGUGUGCUGCUGCAGGUGCCUGCAGCUGAAGUACUGACAGUGCCCAUGAGACCUGCCCUGAAGGACUUACAGAGACAAGCAGGGGACACUGAAAAGGAUGAUUAUGUUGAGACAUGUGUGUGUAUAAAUAUCAUUAAAUCUUGAGGAUUUCAUACAUGCAUAUAAAAUAUUUUGAUUCAUAACCAUCCCUUCACCCCCUAACUCUACAAGAUACCUUCCCCACCCUUCACCCCAUCCCAAUUUUAUGUCCUUCCCUUACCUAGCCCACUGAUUCUCAUCUGUGCUGCCCAUAUACUCAUGGAUUUGGGGCUGUUUCCUGGAGCCUGGUAGGUCUACCAAGAUCGACAGUCGUUAUGAAACUGACUCUCCCUCCCCCUAGAAGCCAUCAACUGUCAACAGCUCUUCAGCUAGGGUGGGGGCUCAUAAGAAUGAGAGUUCUGUCAGUCAGAUUGAGAGAGGUGGCCUGGCAGUUAGAAUUUCACUCAAAAACAUGUGAUUUAUAUUGCACACACAGGCCCAUGAGGUCAUAGGUUACCUAGAUCACGCCUCUAUUAUGAAGGCAGGAAACAUACCAUGGGAAAUUAAGAACCUUUUAAAAAUAUACACUGCUGUGACUUGGAUGUGCCUCAUUCCCCCCAAGGACUCAUGCAUUGGCAAGUCGUUCUCCAGAGUGAUGAUGUGACAGGUGGUGUCCUCGUGGAAGAUCACUGCCUCACUGUGGCUGCUGUCCUUGAAGGAGAUUAAUGUCCUUCUCUCCUUCUCGUCGGACCCCAGGAGUUAGCUUCACAACACUUUGUUAUUAUAAAAGGCUGCUCCCUAAAUCCUUCUGGCUCUCUUUCUUACAUGUAAUGUUUCUUUUUUUGCAUGUUUCCCCAUGAUGCCAUCACCAUGUUGCAGCGAAGCAGGACCUCACCAGAGUUAACCAUAGUCGUGCUGCCUGGACUCUGUAGAGGCUUCAAUGUGAAACGUCCCCCAUAAGUCCAUGUGUUUAAACACUUGGCCCCCAGAUGGCAGUGCUGAUUGAGAAGGUGGUAGAACCUUUGGGAGAUGCAGCCUUGCUGGAGGAAGUGAGUCCCCGGGGGCAGGCUUUGAGGUCCCACAGCCUGGCCACACUUCCUUUUCACUCUCUCUUCCAGACUGCUGAUGCAGUGUGAUAAGUGAACUUCAUGCAGUUGCCACCAUGGUAGACUGUAGACCCUCUGGAACUGUAAGUCUGAAUAAAAACCCUGUCUGCUUUCAUCAGGAUGUCUUAUCACAGCAACAAAAAAGAAACUAAUACAGACUCUGAAUCUCCAAGUUAAAUGCACCUCUUUUCCUCAUAAAGAGCCUGAGUAACAGGAAAUAGACUAAGACACACCUCCACAGAACAGAGAGCAGCUGGGAUUUGAAACAAACUUCUCCUAAUCUCCCACAAGCACAGAGCAGUCAGAGGGCCAGAAUCUUCCGUGCUUGUCACAGAUCCACCAGUACUCUGUAACAUAAGGGAUAAUUGCUUGAAUGUUGGCUUCUCAUGCUGGCCUGCAUGCCUUUCAGGGAAGCUCAUGUCUGCCCUGCAACUUUACUAAAAUAGAAUCGCUAAGAUCUAGUAAAGAAAUAUAUAGGGCUGAAGAGGUGGCUCAGUAGUUAAAAACGCUUGCUGCUCUUUGAGAGGACCUGGGUUUGGUUCCCACCAUCCACAUGGUGGCUCACAAUCAUCUGUAACACCAGUUUGAGAGUAUUCAAUGACUUUAUCUGACCUCCACAGGUACCAGAGUUCAAGGUCAGCCUCAGUUACCUACUAAGCUCAAGGCCAGCCUAGACUACAUGAGAUGCUUCCUCAAAAAGAAAAGAAAGAAAAUCAAACCCAGAAAGUCAUGCAUUGUAGAUUCAUUUCAAUGAAGUGUGGCUAGGUCAAUUCAUAGAGACAGAAGGCAAAUCGGUGGUUGUCAGAGGUGGAGGGAGGGAAGCAAGGAGAGUUAUUGCUAAUGGGCUUGGAAUUCCCUUUGGGAGCUGAUGAAAAUAUUCUGCAAGUAGUAGAGAUAUUUGGACAGUUUGCAUUUAUAUGAAAACUCAUUGAACUGUAUACUUUAAAAGUGUUAAUUGCAUGUUAUGUUAAUUAUGUCUUAAUUAAAAUGCUCAGAAUUUGUUGAAAACAGAAAAGAUAAUUUCAAGAGGUGUGUUAUCUGGCCAAAUAGUGCAACCAUCCUCUCAUGACCCAUGAUCUCUGACUCUUCCAAGACAAAAAAAAAAAAAAUGGCAUGCAUCUCACAAAGAAUUGGAGAGGACAUGUCCACUGCCCUAUUUAUUAGUAAAAAUUCUCCAGAAAGACAGAAUCACUUAUCUAGAUAAAUGAUAGGAUGGGUAGAUAGAUUAUAGAUAAUGGAUGAUAGAUAGAUAGAUAGAUAGAUAGAUAGAUAGAUAGAUAGAUAGAUAGUAGGUCAAUAGGUAGGUGGAUAGAUGAUUGAUAGAUGAUGGGAGAUAGAUAAUAGAUGAUUGAUAGAUAUAUAGAGAGAUGAUAGAAACAUAGAUAGAUGACUACGGAGACUGAGACAUCUCAGGAUGAUCCAUCUGCAUGCUUUUGAAUAAGGGAAGUUGGUAGGAUGGCCCAAUCCAUGUUGAAAUGCCUAAGACCUGUGGGGCUUGUUGUACAAGUCCUAGAUCUGAAGGCCAGAAGGGCCUCAACCACUGAUGCCCAAGGGCAAAAAGAAGGUUGUAGCAUGAGAGAGAAGAGGGGGAAGAGAGGAAAAGAGGGUAGGAGGGAUGGGGAGAAGAUCAAGGAGGGAGUGAGGGAGAGACAUAACCUUUUCUCCACUAUUU